GAAUACAAUAGAAGAUUAGUCUCCGAAAACAAUUCAUCAUAUUAGUCUCCGAAUUUAAAAUACCGAACAAAGUUAGAACAUUACAAGUCUCGAGACCGCGAGUAGCGAGUUUGUCUUCACAUUACAAGUCGAUAUCGACCAUCUAAACUACCAUCACAUAGAAGAGAGCUGCGGUCAUCACGAUGAGCAUAAUCGCAAUGAAACUAGUCUUCAUCCGGUUCCUCCAACACUCC
rnacentral:lncRNA from 1 species